rnacentral:lncRNA from 1 species
GAUUUUUAAUGUAGAAGAUGCUAAAUUUUGUGUUAUCCUGACUGUAGCUCAUAAUUCAUUUCUUUCUAGUGGCAUGUAAUAUUUUCUCCUGGGCCUUUCCCAAUUUUUUUUCAUCUUCUCUUAUUUGAUUUUUAGUCUUUUUAAAGUUCUUUCAAGAACUCUUUUGGGCUUGUGGCCAUUUUUCAUUUUCUUUGAAACUUUAUAAAUUGCUGUGUUUGACUUCAUUCUCUUCUUCUGAUUGUGAACCCUGAUCUUCUCUAUCACCUUACUCAUUUUUAACAGUCUCUUUCUUGGCUGAUAACCUUAUGUUUGGGUCGGACUCAGGGAUGUGGGGGAUGGUGCCUCUGGCUUUAGGUUUUUUCUUGCGGUUAUUUUUGCAGCUCAGUCUUCAGGCCUCGUAGCUCUCCGUUCUAUAACCCUAGGCCAGGUGUGGUGUCUGAAUUGCCCACAGGUGUUCCCUUCAGCCCUCCAGUCGUGACCAGGAAUGUGUCACCACAGAUGCGGAGACUUAAGUUGUGGCUCCCCAAAUUCCCGCCGGGAGCCACACGUGUCAGCCAUGGACCUUUGCUAUGGGGGAGGGACCAGAGCCUCGAGGACCUCAAGCAGUGUGCAUACUCCACGCCCUUACAACCACGGACUGGGGGCGUGGCUAUUCAGUGCGCCUGCACCUGCGUCCCGGCUCCCUCCUCAUAAUCUUCCCCUGAUUUUCAGCCUUACCCAACGGAGUCUGUGGAACAAAGGUUCCGUCGAACUCAACUGUCCCGGGGCUGUGAGGAUAUCUACCCUUCAGAGGACUUGUGCUCUUCAAUCAGACCAGAGCUCCACCCCAAAGGAUGCUCUGUUGAUGAAAACAGAAGUAUAAAGGCUGUAUCAAGGGAUCUGAAAUGCAGCAUUGGGGUCGCUGCAGCCAAGGUAUCUGGUGAAUUGGUCUGUGCAGUUCAGGUCUUCUUAGAGCCAUCAACAAUGACACCCCGGAG